CCAGAUGGCCGGAUGACUGCGCUCCCCGCUUUCGGCGCGGGAGGGAGGAAAGUCCGGGCUCCACGGAAGGACGGUGCCGGGUAACGCCCGGCGGGAGCGAUCCCAGGGAAAGUGCCACAGAGACCAUACCGCCGGCGGCGGCCAGCAAUGGGUGCAGGCCGGUAAGGGUGAAAAGGUGCGGUAAGAGCGCACCGCGCUGACGGCAACGCCAGCGGCAGGGCAAACCCCACCGGGAGCAAGACCAGAUAGGAGGACAGGAGCCGGGCAACCGGUUCAGGCGCCUUUCCGCGCCGAUCCUCGGGUAGGUCGCGCGAGGCGUCCGGCAACGGGCGCCCCAGAUGAAUAGUCAUCCACGGGUCGCGGUCGGGCGGAAAUGAUGACCGGUGAAAGCCGGGCAUAUCGUUCGUCCAGCGGCCCCGGACAGAACCCGGCUUACAGGCCAUCUGGCAUA
rnacentral:RNase_P_RNA from 1 species